rnacentral:rRNA from 1 species
GACGAACCGUGCAAACGUUGUUCGGAAUCACUGGGCUUAAAGGGCGCGUAGGCGGGCAAGCAAGUCCGGGGUGAAAUCUUUCGGCUCAACCGGAAAAGUGCCUUGGAUACUGCUUGUCUGGAGGGAGGUAGGGGCAUGCGGAACUUCUGGUGGAGCGGUGAAAUGCGUUGAUAUCAGAAGGAACACCAAUGGCGAAGGCAGCUCGCUGGGACGGUACUGACGCUGAGGCGCGAAAGCGUGGGGAGCAAACAGG